UAGGCAUGACUCCCACACGUAAGUGUAAUGACUCAUUGCAUCUUUCGACAAAGGUUGAGAUGACAGAUUAUCCAAUUCCUCCUAAAAGAAUGAGAAGAGAAGCUACAAGACAAAAUAGGAUUAUAACCAAAACAGAUGUGUGAAAGGUGGUAAGAGGGGGCCAUUGGUCUCACUAAGAAUGCCCUGCCUUCUGCAUCUUUGUUUCAGAAGACCAAGAAAGUGACUCACAAGACUGAGUAUUUCUGGGGACAAUACAAGUAUCUGGUCAUGAAUUUUCAUGUUCAUCCAGAUGGGACUGGAAGCAACAUUCAAUUUUAUGAAUCUCACUGGACAGAAUGGACUUUCUAGAGUUAUUUCAGUCGUCGUGCCCUUUGGUUGUCAUCUUGCAAAUGUGUCAGAGGAAACUGUGCUGUGACUGUAAAAUUGGCAUAUAGCUUUUAUUAAUCCUGAAGAAAAGUAUACGUACUAUUUUUCAGUAUAAUUAUAACAAAUACGUUAGACCU